rnacentral:rRNA from 1 species
GUAGGUGGCAAGCGUUGUCCGGAAUUAUUGGGCGUAAAGCGCGCGCAGGCGGUUCUUUAAGUCUGAUGUGAAAGCCCACGGCUCAACCGUGGAGGGUCAUUGGAAACUGGAGAACUUGAGUACAGAAGAGGAAAGCGGAAUUCCACGUGUAGCGGUGAAAUGCGUAGAGAUGUGGAGGAACACCAGUGGCGAAGGCGGCUUUCUGGUCUGUAACUGACGCUGAGGCGCGAAACGCGUGGGGGGAGCAAACAGGAUUAGAUACCCUGGUAGUCCACGCCGUAAACGAUGAGUGCUAAGUGUUAGGGGGUUUCCACCCCUUAGUGCUGCAGCUAACGCAUUAAGCACUCCGCCUGGGAGUACGGCCGCAAGGCUG